UUAUUAUUAUGCUGAAUUCUUGUGAGAAAAGAGAAAAUCUACAAAGAUUGCUUAAUUCAUGAUCAAUUUAUGCAUCUUCAAAAGCUUCAAAGAGUUGCUGAUUUGAUAUAUUGCUUUGAGUGAUGUAUCCUCAUCUCUCUUUUUCCUCCAAAUGUCAAUUCUCUGUUGUUAUGUUGCAUUUCUUUAGUGCUUUUGCAAUCCCUUUUUGUGUACCAAAGAUCAAAUUUUCUAUAAGGGAUUCUUGGAGUUUUUUGUAGUGAGUAUAGAAUCAUUGUAUAGGUACUAUAAGUAUUAGGGCCCUUAAGAAUCUAUCUUAAGGUUGGUCUAAUAUUUUUUGUUUUGAGCGAAUUCCACAAUCCCCACUUAAUUUUAGUCUGUAUUUAUUAAUAUGCAAGUUUAUUGACUUGCAUAAGCAUAAUUAUAGGUCCCUUGCCCUCCUCAAAGCAUUGU
rnacentral:lncRNA from 1 species